AGCGUACCUUUUGCAUAAUGGGUCACCAAGUUAAUUUUAGAUGCGAGCUAAUGCGUAGUUAAACCGAUCAUAUAAAUAAUGAAUAGUAUCUAAAGUUAGACCCGAAGUACAGUGAUCUUACCAUAAUCAGGACUAUAAAGGUCCGAACGGGUUAUUGUUGCAAAAAUAUCCGAAGAAUUGUGGUAAGUAUAGUGAAAGACAAUUCUGACUGUAUUAGCUGGUUUUCUGCGAAACCUAUACUAGUAGGCAAUUUAAAUAACAUCUUAGCAGGUACAGAACUUAAUCUCAGACAAGAUGUAAUAAACAUUUUCUUUUUGUACAAAUCGGGGAAUCAUGAGGAUUUUACCGGUGAGUUUGUGGACUCGGAAUGGCAAAGAUGAAUUUUAAAUUAUCAGACAUAUAAUGAUAAGGUUGUAUGUCAAAAGGGAAACAGCCCAGAACAAGAGUUAAGGUUCCAAAAUUAUUAUUAAGUGAAAUUAAGAAGGUCUAUAUGUAAACCGACAAGGAGAUUGGCUUAGAAGCAGCCAUAAUUUAAAGACCUCGUACCAGAGCACUAGUCUACGUAAAAAGCGUUAAAAAUUUAACGGAUCUAAAUAAUAUACCGAUACCUUGUCUAUAAAUGAUAAUAAUAAUUAUUAUUAUUUAUGGGGUAGCAGAACGUUGAGUAAAUUUUAGUGUUUUUUUUUAUAAAAAAAAUUAUAUUAUAACUCAAGUGAGAAUGGUGACAUGAGUAACGAAAAAGAAAACUCGCCUAAAGCUUAUGGUUAGGAUUAAGUAUCGGCCUCUAAGUUUAUACCCUAAGGGGUAAAGCGAUGAGAAAACCUUAUUACUAUUAAAGACACCAUUUUUUAAGUGAAAAAUGAGCUUGAAAAAAGUAGUAAAAAAUUAACCGUACCUAGGAUCUACAACAAGUAAGCUAGUAGAGAAUACGAAGGCGCAUGAGAUAACAAUCUUAAAGGAACUCGGCAAAAUGACUCCGUAACUUCGGGAUAAGGAGGGCUCAUUUAUUCUGAUUAAUAUCAGAUAUAGAGGAAGAAUCAUAAAAUAGUGUUGUACGACUGUUUAAUUAAAACACAGCACUUUGCAGAGAUGUUAAAUCUAAGUAUCAAGUGUGAAAUCUGCCCAAUUCCGGCUAAUAACUAACUUAGUUAAAUUUAUAUAAAUUUAGUUAAUAAGAAACAACCGGCAAAUGGCGGCCUUAACCUGAGGGUCCUAAGGUAGCGAAAUGCCUUGGCCGUUAAAUGCGGUCUUGCACGAAUGAUGUAACGAUACAACAGCUGUCUCUAAGAUUGACUCAGUGAAAUUGGAAUAACUGUGCAGAUACAGUUUACCUCUAGAUAGACGAGAAGACCCUAUGCAGCUUUACUGUUACUAGUUAUUGAAUAUAAUUAAGUUUAUUAUUAGUUUAAAAGGUUUAUUGAUAAAAUAAAAGUGAAAGACCUUUAUUUACUUAUUAUGUUAAUACUUUUGUUAAUCUGGACAGUGACUAGUAGACAGUUUAUGUGGGGCACAGACCCCUUAAAGAGUAAAAGGGUGUAUCUAAAAUAUAUAACUUAAAGUUUAUUUUAAUUUUUUUGUUUGUUAUUAUUUUAACUUUGUUAUAUUUAAUCUUUUCUUUUGUGUAUGGAAAUGUAUAUUAUAUGUACAUAGAUAUAGAGUUAGGUAGGAUUUUAAUUAUGGUGCAAAUUAAUUGUAUAUAAAAGAUACAUAUCUGUAUAUUAUCUUUAAUAGUUAUUAUAAUAUUUAAUUAUUAAUAAUUAUGUUUAAUACUUAUAAAGUUGAAUGGCUUAAUCUUGCUUUACUGUUUGAUUAACAACAAAUCUUACAGUCGCGUAAGCGGGGCAUUAGAUCACAAGAUACAAUAAGGAAAGGUCUUGGAUUAUUGGAAAAGCUACGCUAGGGAUGUUUGUCCUUCAAUAUUUUUUUAAUAAUUGAUACAUAUUGGGUUAAUUUCAAAAAUUACUUACUAUAAGUGUAAGUAGAUUUGAAGCGAAGUUUAUUUAUGCAUAUAAAUAAAAUUGUUCAACGACUAAAAGUAAUAAUACUUUAUUAAUACCCAACAUUUUUUUUUAGUAAUUAAUUUUAAUAUUUUAAACGAAAAUUGAAAAAAAACACUAAAUUUUACCAAAAUAAUAUAUUUAUUAAAAAUUUAAAUAAUAAAUAUAAAUUAAUACCUAUGAAUAUAAAAAAUAAUUUUAUAGGUGAAAAUAAUUAUUUUCCUUCUGAUUAUAAAGAAUGAAAUAAUAAUAUAUAUUAUUUUAAUAAUAAUAAUAUUAAAAAUAUACCAGCCUAUGAUUUAAUAAUAAAUAAAUUAUUAAAAGGUU
rnacentral:rRNA from 1 species